UAAGACAAAAAGACCACCAA
rnacentral:piRNA from 1 species